rnacentral:rRNA from 1 species
GUAGGUGGCAAGCGUUGUCCGGAAUUAUUGGGCGUAAAGCGCGCGCAGGCGGUUCUUUAAGUCUGAUGUGAAAGCCCACGGCUCAACCGUGGAGGGUCAUUGGAAACUGGAGAACUUGAGUACAGAAGAGGAAAGCGGAAUUCCACGUGUAGCGGUGAAAUGCGUAGAGAUGUGGAGGAACACCAGUGGCGAAGGCGGCUUUCUGGUCUGUAACUGACGCUGAGGCGCGAAAGCGUGGGGGAGCAAACAGGAUUAGAUACCCUGGUAGUCCACGCCGUAAACGAUGAGUGCUAAGUGUUAGGGGGUUUCUGCCCCCCCCUUAGUGCUGCAGCUAACGCAUUAAGCACUCCGCCUGGGGAUACGGCCGCAAGGCUG